rnacentral:lncRNA from 10 species
CCCACCCCUAGAAUGACAGAGGAGGAAGAGGGGGAGGGUCAUCAUCUGUAAAUGCCACCAAGACAGUGUUGGGUGGCACCUGACGUUCCCCAGCACACACGAGCCACUGGUGCCUCUUCAGGCUGUGUCCGUUCACAUGGUGGGACCUCCUGCCCAUUGGUGGUAGGGGCAGGGUGCGUGGAGAGGCCUUCUCCAGGAGCUGCCUGGAAAACAGGGCAGCCCUGACCCCCACUGGCUGACAGUGAGCAGCAUGUCUCCUAUCACGGAGUCUGAAGGUCCCCGCAGUGUUGAGCAAAAGUUUACAUGGCACCCACUGGCCAGACCCCAUCGACUCCACAGAGAGCAAAAGAGAGCCUGCUGACCUCCCAGCUGUUGGCCCCAGAGUCACAGAAGUCACCCCUACUCAACACCAGGACACAGAUCCACCGCCCAACCUAAGAAAACAGGAACAACUCCAGGGCCACCUAGGCCAGGCAGGUUGACAAACAUGGUGUCAGAAGUGGGAUCUGAAGCAUAAUCAUUUUCAGAAUAAACUGGUGAUUCUUGGAACCAGGGUGCAGUACUCCCUUGAGGCCUUUCAGCUCUCUACUUCCACGGCUCUCCUUUUUCUGCCCUGGUGCACUAAGGGAAGCUAAAAGCAGACUCAGGGGAUAUGUCUGCAGCUGCAGAAAGAUGUAUGGAAACAAGACACACAACUCUCCCUCCCAGAUAAGAACAAAGAGAUACAGAAGCAGUCCAAGCCUCUGAUAAACUCUCCUACCCCGAAUCCUUAAAAACUCACAGUCUGUAAAAGAGUGUGUCUCUGACCUAACUCGGCCAGAAGGCGCCUCUCAGGUUUGUUUUCUCUAAAAUAAAUCUGUCUUGACUGGAAAGCCACCUUUUUGUGUUUCUUUCCUCUUUCUUUAAUUCUUACAGCUACCUGGAUGACAACAUGGACCACAGCCACCAGCAGACCUGGAACGUUAGCCCUUAGACAAUGAUAGAAGGCAAAAGUAAACUUCUAACUUGUUCCAGCCAGUAAAUGAUUGUUCAUUUUCUUUGUUACAGCAGCCCAACCUUACACUGGGUGACAAACCUUAUGGAGUUCCCACACCCAAGAUAGUCCAGGAGAAGAAG